rnacentral:rRNA from 1 species
UUACCCCUACGGGGCGCAGCAGUGAGGAAUAUUGGUCAAUGGCCGAGAGGCUGAACCAGCCACGUCGCGUGAGGGAUGACGGCCCUACGGGUUGUAAACCUCUUUUGUCGGGGAGCAAAGAGAGUCACGUGUGGCUCAUUGAGAGUACCCGAAGAAAAAGCAUCGGCUAACUCCGUGCCAGCAGCCGCGGUAAUACGGAGGAUGCGAGCGUUAUCCGGAUUUAUUGGGUUUAAAGGGCGCGCAGGCGGAGGUGCAAGACAGUGGUCAAAUAGCGGGGCUCAACCCCGU